rnacentral:rRNA from 1 species
UACGAAGGGGGCUAGCGUUGCUCGGAAUCACUGGGCGUAAAGGGUGCGUAGGCGGGUCUUUAAGUCAGGGGUGAAAUCCUGGAGCUCAACUCCAGAACUGCCUUUGAUACUGAGGAUCUUGAGUUCGGGAGAGGUGAGUGGAACUGCGAGUGUAGAGGUGAAAUUCGUAGAUAUUCGCAAGAACACCAGUGGCGAAGGCGGCUCACUGGCCCGAUACUGACGCUGAGGCACGAAAGCGUGGGGAGCAAAAGGG